GACGAACGCUGGCGGCGUGCUUAACACAUGCAAGUCGAACGGAAAGGCUCUGCGUUUGUGGGGUGCUCAAGUGGAGAAGGGGUGAGCAUCACGAGAGUAACCUGCCCUUGACUCUGGGAUAACUCCAGGAAACAGGGGGUCAUACCGGACAGGAGCUCCUGCGGCAUGGUGGGGGUUGGAAAGUUACGGUGGUUGGGGUUGGACUCGCGGCUUAUCAGCUUGUUGGUGGUGUAGUGGCUUACACAGGUUUUGACGGGUAGGCGGCCUGAGAGGGUAGCCGGCUACAGUGUUACUAGGAUACGUCCCAGACUCCUACAGGAGGCAUCAGUGGAGAAUAUUACACAAUGGGCGGAAGCCUGAUGCAGCAACUCCGCGUGCUGGAUAACUGCCUUCGGGUUGUAAACCGCUUUCGCCUGUGACGAAGCUUGAGUGACGGUAAUGGGUAAAGAAGCACCGGCUAACUACGUG
rnacentral:rRNA from 1 species